rnacentral:rRNA from 15 species
GUGGAUGCCUUGGCGUGCACAGGCGAUGAAGGACGUAAUACGCUGCGAUAAGCGUCGGGGAGCUGCGAAUAAGCUUUGAUCCGAUGAUUUCCGAAUGGGGAAACCCGACCAUUUAGGUCACCCGCAAGGGAGCUAACCUGGGGAACUGAAACAUCUAAGUACCCAGAGGAAAGGACAUCAACCGAGACUCCGUUAGUAGUGGCGAGCGAACGCGGACCAGGCCAGU